CAGUAGCCGCGGGAACACGAAGGGUGCAAGCGUUAAUCGGAAUUACUGGGCGUAAAGCGUGCGUAGGCGGUGAGUUAAGUCUGCUGUGAAAUCCCCGGGCUCAACCUGGGAAUGGCAGUGGAUACUGGCUCGCUAGAGUGUGUCAGAGGAUGGUGGAAUUCCCGGUGUAGCGGUGAAAUGCGUAGAGAUCGGGAGGAACAUCAGUGGCGAAGGCGGCCAUCUGGGACUACACUGACGCUGAGGCACGAAAGCGUGGGGAGCAAACAGGAUUAGAUACCCGGGUAGUCCCUGUCUCUUAUAC
rnacentral:rRNA from 1 species